UCGGAUCAGGUAGGGAUACCCU
rnacentral:rRNA from 1 species